GACGAACGCUGGCGGCGUGCUUAACACAUGCAAGUCGAGCGGAAAGGCCCUGCUUUUGUGGGGUGCUCGAGAGGCGAACGGGGGAGUAACACGUGAGUAACCUGCCCUUGACUGUGGGAUAACUUUAGGAAACUGGGGCUAAUACCGGAUAGGAGCUCCUGCUGCAUGGGGGGGGAUGGAAAGUUUCGGCGGUUGGGGCUGGACUCGCGGCUUAUCCGCUAGAUGGGCGAGUAGUGGCUUACCAAGGCUUUGACGGGUAGGCCGCCUGAGAGGGUGACCGGCCACCUUGGGCCUACGGGACGGCCCAGACUCCUACGUGACGCAGCGGUGGGGAGUAUUGCGGAGUGGGCGGAAGCCUGAUGCGACAGCGCCGCGUGCGUAAUGCCCUCCUUCUGGUUAUAAACCGCUUUGGCAGGUAACGAAGCGUGAGUGACGGUAAUGGGUCAGGAAGCACCGGCUAACUACGUG
rnacentral:rRNA from 1 species